rnacentral:rRNA from 1 species
GACGAACGCUGGCGGCGUGCUUAACACAUGCAAGUCGAACGGAAAGGCCCUGCUUUUGUGGGGUGCUCGAGUGGCGAACGGGUGAGUAACACGUGAGUAACCUGCCCUUGACUUUGGGAUAACUUCAGGAAACUGGGGCUAAUACCGGAUAGGAGCUCCUGCUGCAUGGUGGGGGUUGGAAAGUUUCGGCGGUUGGGGAUGGACUCGCGGCUUAUCAGCUUGUUGGUGGGGUAGUGGCUUACCAAGGCUUUGACGGGUAGCCGGCCUGAGAGGGUGACCGGCCACAUUGGGACUGAGAUACGGCCCAGACUCCUACGGGAGGCAGCAGUGGGGAAUAUUGCACAAUGGGCGGAAGCCUGAUGCAGCAACGCCGCGUGCGGGAUGACGGCCUUCGGGUUGUAAACCGCUUUCGCCUGUGACGAAGCGUGAGUGACGGUAAUGGGUAAAGAAGCACCGGCUAACUACGUGCCAGCAGCCGCGGUGAUACGUAGGGUGCGAGCGUUGUCCGGAUUUAUUGGGCGUAAAGGGCUCGUAGGUGGUUGAUCGCGUCGGAAGUGUAAUCUUGGGGCUUAACCCUGAGCGUGCUUUCGAUACGGGUUGACUUGAGGAAGGUAGGGGAGAAUGGAAUUCCUGGUGGAGCGGUGGAAUGCGCAGAUAUCAGGAGGAACACCAGUGGCGAAGGCGGUUCUCUGGGCCUUUCCUGACGCUGAGGAGCGAAAGCGUGGGGAGCGAACAGGCUUAGAUACCCUGGUAGUCCACGCUGUAAACGGUGGGUACUAGGUGUGGGGUCCAUUCCACGGGUUCCGUGCCGUAGCUAACGCUUUAAGUACCCCGCCUGGGGAGUACGGCCGCAAGGCUAAAACUCAAAGGAAUUGACGGGGCCCCGCACAAGCGGCGGAGCAUGCGGAUUAAUUCGAUGCAACGCGUAGAACCUUACCUGGGUUUGACAUGGAUCGGGAGUGCUCAGAGAUGGGUGUGCCUCUUUUGGGGUCGGUUCACAGGUGGUGCAUGCCUGUCGUCAGCUCGUGUCGUGAGAUGUUGGGUUAAGUCCCGCAACGAGCGCAACCCUUGUUCACUGUUGCCAGCACGUUAUGGUGGGGACUCAGUGGAGACCGCCGGGGUCAACUCGGAGGAAGGUGGGGAUGACGUCAAGUCAUCAUGCCCCUUAUGUCCAGGGCUUCACGCAUGCUACAAUGGCUGGUACAGAGAGUGGCGAGCCUGUGAGGGUGAGCGAAUCUCGGAAAGCCGGUCUCAGUUCGGAUUGGGGUCUGCAACUCGACCUCAUGAAGUCGGAGUCACUAGUAAUCGCAGAUCAGCAACGCUGCGGUGAAUACGUUCCCGGG